ensembl:lncRNA
CAACAAUGCCACUGACAAUGUAAAGGUAAGGGAUACAGUAUGUAAGGGUGAGGGAUAGGUAAGGUAAGGUAUAGGUAAGGUAAGGUAUAGGUAUAGGUAGGUAAGGUAUACUGUAGACAAGGUAAGAAAUAGUGAAGAUAAGGUAAGGUAUAGAUAAGGUAUUGAUAAGGGAGGGGAUAGGUAUAGGCAAGGUAAGGGUAAAGUAAGGUAUAGGUAAGGUAAGGUAUAUGUCAAGUAAGGUAUAGGUCAAGUAAGGUAUAGGUAAAGUAAGGUAUAGGUAAGGUAAGGUUUAGGUAAGGUAAGGUAUAGGUAAGGUAUAGGUAAUGUAAGUUAUAGGUAUAGGUAAUGUAAGGUAUAGGUAAUGUAAGGUAUAGGUAUAGGUAAGGUACAGGUAAAGUAAGGUAUAGGUAAAGUAAGGUAUAGGUAAGGUAUAGGUAAGGUUUAGGUAAGGUAAGGUAUAGGUACGGUAUAGGUAUAGGUCAGGUAAGGUAAGGUAUAGGUCAGGUAAGGUAAGGUAUAGGUCAGGUAAGGUAAGGUAUAGGUAAGGUAUAGCUACGGUAUAGUUAUAGGUAUAGGUUAGGUAAGGUAAGGUAUAGGUAAGGUAUAGGUAUAGGUAAGGUAUAGGUCAGGUAUAGGUAAGGUAAGGUAUAGGUAAGGUAAGGUAUAGGUUAGGUAUAGGUCAGGUAAGGUAUAGGUCAGGUAAGGUAUAGGUUAGGUAUAGGUCAGGUAUAGGUAAGGUGAGGUAUAGGUAAGGUAAGGUAUAGGUCAGGUAAGGUAUAGGUAAGGUAAGGUAUAGGUUAGGUAUAGGUCAGGUAAGGUAUAGGUCAGGUAAGUUAUAGGUUAGGUAUAGGUCAGGUAUAGGUAAGGUAAGGUACAGCUUGGCUGUCGAAACGUUGGACAUUACAUUGUUGCAUCUGAGCUCCUAGAGUGUGCGGC